CAAGAGAAUGAGUAAUGUGAGAUUUGGUGGGACCACUGCUAACUGUUCUAAAAGCUUAAGCUGUUAGAUGAAGGCGUAAUUUAAUAUUUAAUUAUUCUAACACUCCCCUUCAUGCUUAGUCUGGUCUUCUUGCCUAGUAUUAAGCGUGAACAUAUUUAAUUGGAGAGGUAAAUGGGGCCUGGAAAGAUUCGAACUCAGGACCUCCAGCUUUGAUACCAUGUGAAAUUUGGUGGGACCACUGCCAACUGUUCUAAAAGUUAAACUAUUAGAUGAAGGUGUGGUUUAAUAUUUAAUUAUUCUAACAAGUAAAAAAUUUUAGGGGGGGGAAAAAAAUAAGCGAUGAAAACUGACUUUUAGAGUUAGAAAUUGAUACUUAUGCUGCUCUUAAUAAUCUGAUUAUAAGGAAGAAGCAAGAGUUUGAGUGAAAAAUUUUAGGGGGAAAAAUAAUAAGCCAUGAAAUCUGACUUUUAGAGCUAGAAUUUGAUACUUAUGCUACUCUUAAGAAUUUGAUUAGAAGUCAAAAGUAUUGUGGGAAGCAUGAACUAGCUCAUUGCCUUUCUGAAUAUGACAUCAAGCAAGAGGACACAUCUUGCAGAUAAAGUACCGCCUUGCACAAUUUCUACCUUGGGGAGCUAAAAAACUAGCCCUAAUUAUUGCAUAGUUUCAUUAGAGAGAAUGAGACCGUUGUUAUAAUGGUGAGCAUGGUUCAUAUGCAAUGUUUGGAAGAUGUAGCUAAUUGAAACCCAUCGUAGCCAGUAUUAGUAUACAAGUCAUUUGCAAAUCUUCUCUCUAUCAGAUUCCCUGUGCCAAUAUCUCUCUGAAGAGAACUUGCCCAUCCGUGUUAAAAGCCUCGAAGUAUCCCCUGUUUACAGCUAUUGUUUGUUCUCCAAGGACAUUAGGUUUAAGUCAUUGCUACCCCAAACACACCUCUUUUAAAUCUGAUGCAAGAAGUUUGCCAAGGUAUAGAGCCUAGUUACUGUCAAUUGAAGUGAAUGGUACACUUCAGAGAUAAUUUACUUGCCUGAAAACCUGUUUCCUUGAUAUUCUUAGGACCUAAGCGUAAACUUCCUACGUUGAGCAUAUUCCUUUAUCGGCGAACUUGUUUUUGCUUAGAUGGUACCUUCUUUUGCAAAGUGCUUUGUCAAUUAGUCUGCUAAAUUAUAUCUUGCUUGAUAUUUGGACAUGUUUUGCAAAUGGAAUCUAUCUCGGGUUUCAAGCUGACGAGCUAGGUAAAAAUGCAUAAUUAUCAGAAAUAUUGGGUGGUUUUCACAGAAAUUUCAUCUAUGUUUCCUCUUUCAAGUGUCUACCUGAUUUAUGAAUGUUUCCAACUUUUUUCUUGUUUCUCUUGCAGUAAUGGAAAUUCUGGAUCAAAGUGUUUCAAAUGUUGUGGAGGUAUAAUGGCAUCAGAAGCAAUUUCUCUUCUUUGAGAUUUUUAUGAAUGAGGAAACCCUGAUGGUAUUAACGGCGAUCAACCAUUUUAACCAGCUGAACUGUCUGUUCAAAAGAAUGUUAUAAUACUGUAGUUAGCAUCUAUUUACAUUAGAUAACUUAAGGGAAAUGAUCGUUCUUUUUCAAUGGACCCAUAGUUAAAUGCACUCUUUAAGAGGCUUUUAUGAGCAUAAUAGAGCAAUUCUACCUUUUGAACCAAAGUUUACUUUAUCAAUCAAUGGACUUGAGCAUUAUGCCUGCUAGCAACAUCUCCCUUAAGGACCCUUCCGAAUAAAGCUCUUUCAAAAUCUAAUGCUGUGGUCUUCCUAGCACUCAUAGCCAUUCAUAUUGAUUGAGAAGAAUUGAGGAAGCCUCGUUCUAUUUCUACUUUUCAAUCAAUUCUCUCAACCAGCUAGAGAGAAUUGUAGCUGGGGCUUUUGGUAAUUUUGUAGAUCUUGCUGAACAACUCUCGUUCUCUCUCUCUCUCUCUCUCUCUCUCUCUCUCUAGUCCAUAUGUAAAUGGUUUUUUUCAGUAAAAGAUGUUGUACCCUUGGUCUGGAGAAUUAUCUACUCAUGUCCCAGGUAAAUAAAGCUGGCCGAGUGGAAUUUUUUUUAAUUAUAAAGGAUAAUGAAAUUGGAAGCAUAGAACUAGUGGGUCGUUGUCUGCAUAAGAACCCAUUCAGAAGUUUGAUGCAUCAAGGAUAAGGUGCACAUCUUGAGAUGGUGGGUACACUUAUCCUUACCGACAAUAGGUAUAGUUGCUUCAGUGCAAUGGUGUUCAGCCAUAUAAUGGUUGCUAUGAAUAGGCGUAGAAUUUGCCAGUAAACAAAAAGGUAGAGUUUCAGAUACCCAGUCUUUUCUUUUGUUAUGGAAAAAGAUGAAGUUAGUUGAUAAUCUGUUGGUUAGACUCAUUGGGAGAAGUAUCUUCUCCCUUGAUCCCUAUCGUGAAUUACUAAACAUAUAUGGUUCUUGGUUGAGCAAUUCUCCAAUUUGAGCUCUUCAGUUGUAAAUAUUUUAAGAGACUGAUCAGACCAUAACCUUUUCAUGCUUCUGAGAUAAUUAGUACGCUUUGUAAACUCAUUACAUACAGAAAAGAUGGAAUUGAAAUAAUUUGUCUAUGCUAUGAUAAAAUGAACUGUGUUUUCUUCUCUGUUUCAUAGAACCCUGUAACAUGAAUAUCAUUUCUCUUCGCCAUUUUCCCCUCCUUUUCCAUUCAUUUGCUGUUUAUGACAGUGUGGAAUAUAUGAUUUGUCUUGAGUAUUAUAGAUAUAUGCUGAAUGCUAAUAUUUGCAUUUCAGCUCCAAAGCCUCACAUGGCACGGGUUACUCAGGCUUCUCACUAGAUCUGCGUACAUUGAUUCUUCCUGUUGAAUACUCUCAUGGCUUUGCAUGACUAGAAUUUCAUCAAGGAACUGUGAAACGAAGCAUGAUGCUUGUCCAUAUCAGUAUUUGCCUGGAUGUUCAUGUGUUUGCAGAGGGUUACAGUUGUGAUUGGAAGUCCAUUUCUUGCUUUAACUUGAGUAUCAUAUUGUUAAGAUAAUUUAAGGCAUAAACUGUGUAGGCAUUCUGAUGCUAAUAUUUGUCAUCAACGUAUUCUGUAAUCUAGCUUUUUUUCUUUA